ensembl:snRNA U2 U2 spliceosomal RNA
AUCGCUUCUUGGCCUUUUGGCUAAGCUCAAGUGUAGUAUCUGUUCUUAUCAGUAAAAAAAAAAGCUGGGUAUAGACGUAACAUACUUCAGUACUACCAAGGGAAUAUAUGACAAACUCACAACCAUAU